rnacentral:rRNA from 1 species
UGUAAGCGUAUACCAAAGUUGUUGCAGUUAAAACGCUCGUAGUCGGAAUUUGGCAGUUCCGGAUGUGUGCACGUCGUGUGCGCACUUCGCGGGGAUUGCUUUUGUGGUCUUGCGUAGGAUGAGGCACUUUUAUUAGUGAACGUCCUCACGCAACCACUUUUUACUGUGAGAAAAUCAGAGUGCUCAAAGCAGGCAUUUGCCGUGAAUGUAUUAGCAUGGAAUAAUAGAAUAGGACUUGGUUCUAUUUUGUUGGUUUGUUGGGACUGAGUAACGAUUAAGAGGGACAGUUGGGGGCAUUUGUAUUUCGGUGCUAGAGGUGAAAUUCUUAGAUUACCGAAAGACAAACUGCUGCGAAAGCGUCUGCCAAGGAUGUUUUCAUUGA